AGUACAAUAAUUUAAUCGCCAUAGACAGUAGGAGCGUAAAGCUUAAUUUCCUACCGAGGUGUUUGAAAUCGAUUUGAUUCAAUCUCUCUUUUGUCUUUGGCGGAAGAGAGAUUUUUUAGUAAACGA
rfam:Tenericutes bacterium RIFOXYB2_FTLL_36_25 rifoxyb2_full_scaffold_104, whole genome shotgun sequence.